GCGGGAAAAGCUCAAAUUUAAAAUCUGGCGGUCUCUGGCCGUCCGAGUUGUAAUCUAGAGAAGUAAUGCCCGCGCUGGACCGUGUACAAGUCUCCUGGGAUGGAGCAUCAUAGAGGGUGAGAAUCCCGUCUCUGACACGGACUACCAGGGCUUUGUGGUAUGCUCUCAAAGAGUCGAGUUGUUUGGGAAUGCAGCUCAAAAUGGGUGGUAAAUUCCAUCUAAAGCUAAAUAUUGGCGAGAGACCGAUAGCGAACAAGUACCGUGAGGGAAAGAUGAAAAGAACUUUGGAAAGAGAGUUAAACAGUACGUGAAAUUGCUGAAAGGGAAACGCUUGAAGUCAGUCGCGUUGGCCAGGAAUCAGCCUCGCUUUUGCGUGGUGUACUUUCUGGUUGAUGGGUCAGCAUCAAUUUUGACCACUGGAAAAAGGCCUGGGGAAUGUGGCAGCUUCGGCUGUGUUAUAGCCCCUGGUUGCAUACAGUGGUUGGGAUUGAGGAACUCAGCACGCCGCAAGGCCGGGUUUCGACCACGUUCGUGCUUAGGAUGCUGGCAUAAUGGCUUUAAGCGACCCGUCUUGAAACACGGACCAAGGAGUCUAACAUGCCUGCGAGUAUUUGGGUGAAAAACCCGAGUGCGUAAUGAAAGUGAAAGUUGAGAUCCCUGUCGUGGGGAGCAUCGACGCCCGGACCAGAACUUUUGGGACGGAUCCGCGGUAGAGCAUGUAUGUUGGGACCCGAAAGAUGGUGAACUAUGCCUGAAUAGGGUGAAGCCAGAGGAAACUCUGGUGGAGGCUCGUAGCGAUUCUGACGUGCAAAUCGAUCGUCAAAUUUGGGUA
rnacentral:rRNA from 1 species